UACGGAGGGGGCAAGCGUUGUCCGGACUUACUGGGCGUAAGGGUGCGAUAGGCGGCCUGCUGCGUCGGUGCUGAAGCGCCCGGCUUAACCGGGCGAGGCGUGCCGAUACGAGCGGGCUGGAGCCUUGGCGAGGGUGGCGGAACUCCUGGUGGUAGUGGUGAAAUGCGUAGAGAUCAGGAAGAACACCCGUGGCGCAAGCGGCCACCUGGCCAAGCAGCUGACGCUGAGGCACGAGAGCGUGGGGAGCGAACCGG
rnacentral:rRNA from 1 species